rnacentral:rRNA from 1 species
AGUCGAGGGGUAUUUAUCUUCGGAUAGAGAGACCGGCGCACGGGUGCGUAACGCGUAUGCAAUCUACCUUUUGCAGAGGGAUAGCCCAGAGAAAUUUGGAUUAAUACCUCAUAGUAUAUAGAGUUGGCAUCAACACUAUAUUAAAGUCACAACGGCAAAAGAUGAGCAUGCGUCCCAUUAGCUAGUUGGUAAGGUAACGGCUUACCAAGGCUACGAUGGGUAGGGGUCCUGAGAGGGAGAUCCCCCACACUGGUACUGAGACACGGACCAGACUCCUACGGGAGGCAGCAGUGAGGAAUAUUGGACAAUGGGCGCAAGCCUGAUCCAGCCAUGCCGCGUGCAGGAUGACGGUCCUAUGGAUUGUAAACUGCUUUUGCACAGGAAGAAACAACAUUACGUGUAAUGUCUUGACGGUACUGUGAGAAUAAGGAUCGGCUAACUCCGUGCCAGCAGCCGCGGUAAUACGGAGGAUCCAAGCGUUAUCCGGAAUCAUUGGGUUUAAAGGGUCCGUAGGCGGUUUAGUAAGUCAGUGGUGAAAGCCCAUCGCUCAACGGUGGAACGGCCAUUGAUACUGCUAGACUUGAAUUAUUAGGAAGUAACUAGAAUAUGUAGUGUAGCGGUGAAAUGCUUAGAGAUUACAUGGAAUACCAAUUGCGAAGGCAGGUUACUACUAAUGGAUUGACGCUGAUGGACGAAAGCGUGGGUAGCGAACAGGAUUAGAUACCCUGGUAGUCCACGCCGUAAACGAUGGAUACUAGCUGUUGGGAGCGAUCUCAGUGGCUAAGCGAAAGUGAUAAGUAUCCCACCUGGGGAGUACGUUCGCA